CUAAGGUAGCGAAAUUCCUUGUCGGGUAAGUUCCGACCCGCACGAAAGGUGUAACGACUUGGGCACUGUCUCAACAAGGGAUCCGGUGAAAUUGUAGUACUCGUGAAGAUGCGAGUUACCCGCGACAGGACGGAAAGACCCCGUGGAGCUUUACUGUAGGCUGACAUUGGAUUUCGGUAUUGCUUGUACAGCAUAGGUGGGAGACUAAGAUACCAGGGCGCUAGCUUUGGUGGAGUCAUCAUUGGGAUACCACUCUUGCAAUGCUGAAGUUCUAACCAGAGGCUGUGAAUCCAGUCUUGGGACACUGUCAGUCGGGCAGUUUGACUGGGGC
rnacentral:rRNA from 1 species